UCACCGCGUGUUACUGAUCCGGCCGGACCUUUCCUUCUGGGGAGCCCUAUGGCCUUCACUGGCUGUAGGGGGAACCAGGACUUUUACUGUGAAAAAAUUAGAGUGUUCAAAGCAGGCAUUUGCUCGGAUACAUUAGCAUGGAAUAAUAGAAUAAGACGUGCGGUUCUAUUUUGUUGGUUUCUAGGACCGCCGUAAUGAUUAAUAGGGAUGGUCGGGGGCGUCAGUAUUCAGCUGUCAGAGGUGAAAUUCUUGGAUUUGCUGAAGACUAACUAUUGCGAAAGCAUUCGCCAAGGAUGUUUUCAUUAAUCAGUGAACGAAAGUUAGGGGAUCGAAGACGAUCAGAUACCGUCGUAGUCUUAACCAUAAACUAUGCCGACUAGGGAUCGGACGGGGUUUUUUUAAUGACCC
rnacentral:rRNA from 1 species